AUUGCAAUCCACAGUACGGAUGCCUCCUCCUCCUCAACCAAACUCAGAUUUUUGAUCUAGUCCAUAUGCAUUGUAUUGAAUGAUCAAAUUCAUAGAUAUUUUCAUGAAUGAAAUUUUUGUACGUACUUAUUUGCACUGCAUACAGCACCUCAUGAUCUUGAUAGAUCGAGUAUGCAUGUCAUGCUUGUGAAUAAAGGAUGCAUGGAGUACUUUUGAUGAUAUAUAUAUAUGGGGCCGGGGAUGAAUGACUUGAAUUUAAGCACGUUGAAAUCUUGAAGCCUCUGUGUGUGCAUGCAUGGAUUCUGUCAUGGUGCUUGCAAUUAAUUAAUGGACGUUGAUGUUUGUGUCCAACUCAUAACCUUCCUGCAUCAUGUUGAUCUUGUAAUUUUGAUUAUGCAUGUCCCAUUUUGGUGCUGAUUAAUUUCAUGACUACGCACGGGAAACAUGCAUGGAAGCGAAGACGCGCGUGCAACGUACGUCCUAUGCUUAGUUUUAAGUUCAAUGUGAUUAUUCUCCAUGCAUGAAAUGUUGUCUUCGAUCCGUACUAAUAAAUAGAUACAAAUAAAAUAGAAAUUAAUUAUCUUUUACAAACAA